AGGACGAACGCUGGCGGCGUGCUUAACACAUGCAAGUCGAGCGGUAAGGCCUUUCGGGGUACACGAGCGGCGAACGGGUGAGUAACACGUGGGUGAUCUGCCCUGCACUCUGGGAUAAGCCUGGGAAACUGGGUCUAAUACCGGAUAUGACCUGCUCUCGCAUGGGGGUGGGUGGAAAGAUUUAUCGGUGCAGGAUGGGCCCGCGGCCUAUCAGCUUGGUUGGUGGGGUAAUGGCCUACCAAGGCGACGACGGGUAGCCGACCUGAGAGGUGACCGGCCACACUGGGACUGAGACGCGGCCCAGACUCCUACGGGAGGCAGCAGUGGGGAAUA
rnacentral:rRNA from 1 species